rnacentral:tRNA from 1 species
GUGGGUAUAGCUCAGUGGUAAAGCACAUGCUUAGCAUGCAUGAGGUCCUGGAUUCCACCCCCAGUACCUCCA